rnacentral:lncRNA from 1 species
GCAAGGACAUAUGCUCCCCCUCCCCUACCUAAAGCCCCAAAUAAAAACCCUUCCUUCUAGCUUUUUGGGGAGUUUGGGAUUUCAGCGUUAGCUGCCCUCUCUUCUUGCUCAGCACUGUGCAAAAAUAAAAUUUCUACUUUAUUCCACCACACCCGGUGUCAGAGAUUGGCUUGCUGCACAACGGGUGAGCGAACUCACUUCAGGUUUGGUAACAAUUUGGCAACCCAGAUGGGACAAUGUCCCAGGUGGACGUCUUGCCUGUGGCACUCUGGCCUCUGGCUAAAGGCCUCUCUUGGAAGCUGUCCUGCAGCUGCCUGAGCCCCUUGUCUCAGGGACAGCCCCAAGCAGCUGGCUGCUAGCCAGACGUCCUUGGCCCAUGGCACUUUUGCUUUGGUGGUGGAAGAAACUAGGUUUAGGACUUAGGAAGACGUCUCUUAGUUAAGAAAACCUUUUUCUCUAUUCUCUUAAAGAACUAUGACUUACAGCAAUUUAUAAACAAAACUGAAACAUUUCUCUUUUCCUCCCUAUCUGAGCCCCCCAAAACACAAAAACUUCUGAUAAGACACAAUUGGAAACAGUGGUUAUAUUACCAAGGCUUUGACUGGAACAUCAUGUUUGAAAAAACAUACGGGCUUGGAUAUAACAAGACAGCUUUUGAGGAAUGAAGGUUGACAUUCUGGAAUAAAGCCACUUGGAAAUAUUGGCCUGGUACUGUACUUAUGGGUUCUGUAACCUGGUAAGGUUAAGCAAAGAAUGUCGCUCCCUCUGGCAGGUAAAAGGAACCUCAAUAUUUUGGGGAGCCUCAUGAAGAGAGGGAUUCACCCAAAUCUGUAGGUACUGCAGGCAGAAUGUGAUAACAGGUCCUUUGCUUGGCUUUCUUUGAGAGACCUUUAAAAUUCAACCUGAGAUUCCUUAUAAGGUUCCAGCAAAGCAGAUUUAAAAGAGCCUAUAUGAUCAAUUACUAUUCUUGCUGUACUUAUGUAAAUAAUUAUGCCAAAUUUAUUAAAACUGGACAUUUUGCAAACCAGUUAGUCUUAAUUUGGCUAUGUCUAGUGAAAUUGAAGAUGAUUUUAGGGAGGAAGAUUAUAUUUCAAUGGAAAACUAUAAUACAUAUUUAUAAAUAUUGGAUUUUAGUUUUUUCAAUUAUCUUUGAAAUUUUUGUUUUACUUCUGUUAACUGGACUGGAUCUUGAAUUCUUCAUCUCCUGAAAUAUCUGGCUAAAAACCUCCAAACUAACAUUUUCAGGGUUUUUUUUCUCAUUAUUUUCAUUUGGAGUCAUUGAAAACUAAAUCUGCCCUUUGUCCUAAAGCCUUACAAACUGAAGCUGGAGGACCUAAUAUAAACUUAAGAGAGAUUCAUGUCUACUGCUGUGUAAGCCACUCAAAAAGCUACCUGAGUGCCCAAUGACACCAUCAGAGACAUUUCAAACUGCAAAAGAUGCUUCGACCCUGACUUCUAGGAAUCUUGAUUGGCUGCCCCCUGGACUCAGAAACUGGUUUAUAAUUUGCUCCGAUCAUUAACCUUGUUUUUCUCUUUUUGUUUCUCUAGAAAAACUCUUUAUUAAAUACCUGGUUACUUACUUACAUGAUACAGGCCUACCUUCAGGAGCCCACCAGCAUCACUGCCUUAUUAAAAGACUGGUUCAAUGAGAUGAAACGACCUACGCCCCAUUUCAGCAGGAAGUAGCUAGAUCGGUUGCCACCCCAAAUCCCUCAAGAUUGAGGGAUGGACAUAAAAUAGGGGGGAAGUUGACACUGAUCCUGAUAUCAGUUUCCCCACACUAAACCCAGCAUAUAUGGGGUUAAAAGCAAAACAACCAUUCCCUGCUUGCUCUCUGGCUUCCUGGCUCCAGAAUCCACUAUUCUCCAUGGAGACAGACAUCAUCAAGGACAAGCACCUGGACUAUCUCCUCCCACAAAGAUAUACGGGCUGGUGGGAAAGCUGCUGACCAGCAAGGUCAUGAGCUCGCUCCUGUCUGCAAGUAGUCUCAAGGCCAAAGACAAGCUGGUGGGAAAGCUCCAACCAGCAAGGCCAUAUGCUCCCCCUCCCCUACCUAAAGCCCCAAAUAAAAACCCUUCCUUCUAGCUUUUCGGGGAGUUUGGGAUUUCAGCGUUAGCUGCCCUCUCUCCUUGCUCAGCACUGUGCAAAAAU